UGGGGAAUAUUGGACAAUGGGCGCAAGCCUGAUCCAGCCAUACCGCGUGGGUGAAGAAGGCCUUCGGGUUGUAAAGCCCUUUUGUUGGGAAAGAAAUCCAGCUGGCUAAUACCCGGUUGGGAUGACGGUACCCAAAGAAUAAGCACCGGCUAACUUCGUGCCAGCAGCCGCGGUAAUACGAAGGGUGCAAGCGUUACUCGGAAUUACUGGGCGUAAAGCGUGCGUAGGUGGUCGUUUAAGUCCGUUGUGAAAGCCCUGGGCUCAACCUGGGAACUGCAGUGGAUACUGGGCGACUAGAAUGUGGUAGAGGGUAGCGGAAUUCCUGGUGUAGCAGUGAAAUGCGUAGAGAUCAGGAGGAACAUCCAUGGCGAAGGCAGCUACCUGGACCAACAUUGACACUGAGGCACGAAAGCGUGGGGAGCAAACAGGAUUAGAUACCCUGGUAGUCCACGCCCUAAACGAUGCGAACUGGAUGUUGGGUGCAAUUUGGCACGCAGUAUCGAAGCUAACGCGUUAAGUUCGCCGCCUGGGGAGUACGGUCGCAAGACUG
rnacentral:rRNA from 1 species